rnacentral:rRNA from 1 species
GGUGGCGACCGGCGCACGGGUGCGUAACGCGUAUGCAACUUACCCAUUACUGGGGGAUAGCCCGGGGAAACUCGGAUUAAUACCCCAUAGUACCAUUUGAUGGCAUCUGAAGAUGGUUAAAGAUUUAUUGGUAAUGGAUGGGCAUGCGUCUGAUUAGUUAGUUGGUGAGGUAACGGCUCACCAAGACGAUGAUCAGUAGGGGGUCUGAGAGGAUGAUCCCCCACACUGGUACUGAGAUACGGACCAGACUCCUACGGGAGGCAGCAG